rnacentral:tRNA from 1 species
GGACAGAUAGCUGAGUGGUUUAAAGCUAGCAGCUUUACGUACUAUCAGAGGUUCGAAUCCUUUCCCUGUCCG